UACAGAGGUCUCAAGCGUUGUUCGGAUUCAUUGGGCGUAAAGGGUGCGUAGGUGGCGCGGUAAGUCGGGUGUGAAAUUUCGGAGCUUAACUCCGAAACUGCAUUCGAUACUGCGGUGCUUGAGGACUGGAGAGGAGACUGGAAUUCAUGGUGUAGCAGUGAAAUGCGUAGAGAUCAUGAGGAAGACCAGUGGCGAAGGCGGGUCUCUGGACAGUUCCUGACACUGAGGCACGAAGGCCAGGGGAGCAAACGGG
rnacentral:rRNA from 1 species